rnacentral:rRNA from 1 species
GGGUUGUGAGGUUAAGCGACUAAGCGUACACGGUGGAUGCCCUGGCAGUCAGAGGCGAUGAAGGGCGUGCUAAUCUGCGAUAAGCGCCGGUAAGGUGAUAUGAACCGUUAUAACCGGCGAUACCCGAAUGGGGAAACCCAGUGUGACUCGUCACACUAUCAUUAACUGAAUCCAUAGGUUAAUGAGGCGAACCGGGGGAACUGAAACAUCUAAGUACCCCGAGGAAAAGAAAUCAACCGAGAUUCCCCCAGUAGCGGCGAGCGAACGGGGAGGAGCCCAGAGCCUGAAUCAGCAUAUGUGUUAGUGGAAGCGUCUGGAAAGGCGCGCGAUACAGGGUGACAGCCCCGUACACAAAAGCGCAUGUGCUGUGAGCUCGAUGAGUAGGGCGGGACACGUGGUAUCCUGUCUGAAUAUGGGGGGACCAUCCUCCAAGGCUAAAUACUCCUGACUGACCGAUAGUGAACCAGUACCGUGAGGGAAAGGCGAAAAGAACCCCGGCGAGGGGAGUGAAAAAGAACCUGAAACCGUGUACGUACAAGCAGUGGGAGCACCCUUUGGGGUGUGACUGCGUACCUUUUGUAUAAUGGGUCAGCGACUUAUAUUCUGUAGCAAGGUUAACCGAAUAGGGGAGCCGGAGGGAAACCGAGUCUUAAUUGGGCGUUAAGUUGCAGGGUAUAGACCCGAAACCCGGUGAUCUAGCCAUGGGCAGGUUGAAGGUUGGGUAACACUAACUGGAGGACCGAACCGACUAAUGUUGAAAAAUUAGCGGAUGACCUGUGGCUGGGGGUGAAAGGCCAAUCAAACCGGGAGAUAGCUGGUUCUCCCCGAAAGCUAUUUAGGUAGCGCCUCGUGAAUUCAUCUCCGGGGGUAGAGCACUGUUUCGGCUAGGGGGCCAUCCCGGCUUACCAACCCGAUGCAAACUGCGAAUACCGGAGAAUGUUAUCACGGGAGACACACGGCGGGUGCUAACGUCCGUCGUGAAGAGGGAAACAACCCAGACCGCCAGCUAAGGUCCCAAAGUCAUGGUUAAGUGGGAAACGAUGUGGGAAGGCCCAGACAGCCAGGAUGUUGGCUUAGAAGCAGCCAUCAUUUAAAGAAAGCGUAAUAGCUCACUGGUCGAGUCGGCCUGCGCGGAAGAUGUAACGGGGCUAAACCAUG